rnacentral:rRNA from 1 species
UACGUAGGGGGCAAGCGUUGUCCGGAUUUAUUGGGCGUAAAGAGCGUGUAGGCGGUUAGGUAGGUCCGUUGUGAAAACUCGAGGCUCAACCUCGAGACGCCGAUGGAAACCAUCUGACUAGAGUCCGGAAGAGGAGAGUGGAAUUCCUGGUGUAGCGGUGAAAUGCGCAGAUAUCAGGAGGAACACCUGCGGUGUAGACGGCUUUCUGGACCAUUGCUGACGCUGAGACACGAAAGCGUGGGUAGCAAACAG